rnacentral:lncRNA from 1 species
CCGAAUGAACUUGUUUCUCUCUCUCUUUAAAAUUGUAUUUUGCUUAAGUACCAUGCCAGCAAAAUUAAUUCAUUUCUUCAGAUGCACAAAAUGGUCUGUUGACUACCCAGCAGGCCAUGCCUGAUUUAGUAACUAACUUCAACUUUUGUUCAGUCCUUAUCCUUUAUCUCAACACUACUGGCUUUCUAUCCCACAACUACCAUCUGCCCUCCCG